GGGGAAUAUUGGACAAUGGGCGCAAGCCUGAUCCAGCCAUGCCGCGUGAGUGAUGAAGGCCCUAGGGUUGUAAAGCUCUUUCAACGGUGAAGAUAAUGACGGUAACCGUAGAAGAAGCCCCGGCUAACUUCGUGCCAGCAGCCGCGGUAAUACGAAGGGGGCUAGCGUUGUUCGGAAUUACUGGGCGUAAAGCGCGCGUAGGCGGAUCGGUCAGUUAGGGGUGAAAUCCCAGGGCUCAACCCUGGAACUGCCUUUAAUACUGCCGGUCUUGAGUCCGAGAGAGGUGAGUGGAAUUCCGAGUGUAGAGGUGAAAUUCGUAGAUAUUCGGAGGAACACCAGUGGCGAAGGCGGCUCACUGGCUCGGUACUGACGCUGAGGUGCGAAAGCGUGGGGAGCAAAC
rnacentral:rRNA from 1 species